rnacentral:lncRNA from 1 species
GCCGGGGCGUCCCCCGCGGGAGCCCGCAGCCACCCGGGACGCGCAUCCAGACGUGGCGCUUCGGACCGGGCACGCUGCGCCCGGGGGCUCGGCGGACCCCGCGUAGCCGCCGCUUCGGAGCUUGUGCGGCGCGGGCUGGCCAGCGGGGCGGCCAGGGCCCGGCCCGCCUCCCCAGCGCCCGCCCGGCUUCUCCCCCUGGCGGUGGGAGCCUCGGCGGCCGCUGGCGACACUAGGCGCACUGAAGCCCGAGCCGAGCCGAGCCCGAGCCGCCGCCGCCGCCGCCGCUGCUGCGCACCGCUCCCGGGCUCCCUCCCAGCGCGCCGGCCGGGGUGUGGGGGGCGGCGGGCCGGAGGGGCGAGGGCGGGCCAGGGGGCGCACACGGGGGUUGGCGCGGAAGACAGGACCCUCAGCCUCGAGGGAGCCCCUAGGUGACCAGGCAAAAUGGCAGUUCCUUCCAGCUGGUCCUCAGAUGGGCACAUCUAUUAGCCUCUGCUCUUGUAAGAAGUUAGCUGCAGAACCCACAUGUGAAUCCUUGUAGGACUCUGGAGAAGAUCAAAUGGGAGCUUAGAUGUGGAAGCUCUUUGGAAACCAAGAAACACUCUGAAAAUGAAAAGGGUGGAAGAGUAAACUGUUCCUGUUUCUCCAUCUUGACAGGAAGCAGAAGUUCUCCUUAGCUGAUUUUUCUUCUUGCCUUAUACUGGGUUCUUUAACACCAGAACAAAAAUAAAUAAAUAAAAGAAUCUUCCAGAAAUUCAUGAAGAGACUUCAGGUCAGGAAAGCCUGAACUUUCUCAUCCAACACCCGUUCAAGUCGGAGGAUGCUGAUUAAUUCAUGAUGGAAAGGUAUCAAUUUCACAGCCCAGACCUCUACAUUCUUGAAAUGCUCUUCUCAUGGGAGACAUUAAAUAAGCUUUGAAUUAACUUGCCAUGACACCCAGGAUGCAGCUGUAGGAACACCACUGGGUCCCUGGAUGUCAUGUAAGCCCUUAAGUAAAAGUGCCAUCAAAUGAUUUCUCAGAAAUUAUAAAGAAACAAAAGGACCAUAAACAAGAUAAGGUGGCAUGAGGAAACAUUACAAGUACCUUUCAGAGCUGACUGGCAAAGAAACUCCUGAGGUGACGGUUCUACCCCAAUAUUACUUCUUCGAAGAGCAACCUAACUGACCUUGUAUUGAAGACAGCGUAACCCCCAAGAGGAAAGGAGCUUGGAGCCCUGAAUCAGAGUAGAAGACAGGCUGAAUGAAUACCAGCCUUGGACUGUUGUGUGAAUGAAAAACAAGUUUUGAGAUUUGUGUGGUUUAUUUAUUAUAGUUACUGUUAUUAUUAAAGUUUUUCACUGCUUUACUCUCAG